UUAUAUGAGAGUUUGAUCCUGGCUCAGGAUGAACGCUGGCGGUGUGCCUAAUACAUGCAAGUCGAACGCGUUGGCCCAAUUGAUUGAUGGUGCUUGCACCUGAUUGAUUUUGGUCGCCAACGAGUGGCGGACGGGUGAGUAACACGUAGGUAACCUGCCCAGAAGCGGGGGACAACAUUUGGAAACAGAUGCUAAUACCGCAUAACAGCGUUGUUCGCAUGAACAACGCUUAAAAGAUGGCUUCUCGCUAUCACUUCUGGAUGGACCUGCGGUGCAUUAGCUUGUUGGUGGGGUAAUGGCCUACCAAGGCGAUGAUGCAUAGCCGAGUUGAGAGACUGAUCGGCCACAAUGGGACUGAGACACGGCCCAUACUCCUACGGGAGGCAGCAGUAGGGAAUCUUCCACAAUGGGCGCAAGCCUGAUGGAGCAACACCGCGUGAGUGAAGAAGGGUUUCGGCUCGUAAAGCUCUGUUGUUAAAGAAGAACACGUAUGAGAGUAACUGUUCAUACGUUGACGGUAUUUAACCAGAAAGUCACGGCUAACUACGUGCCAGCAGCCGCGGUAAUACGUAGGUGGCAAGCGUUAUCCGGAUUUAUUGGGCGUAAAGAGAGUGCAGGCGGUUUUCUAAGUCUGAUGUGAAAGCCUUCGGCUUAACCGGAGAAGUGCAUCGGAAACUGGAUAACUUGAGUGCAGAAGAGGGUAGUGGAACUCCAUGUGUAGCGGUGGAAUGCGUAGAUAUAUGGAAGAACACCAGUGGCGAAGGCGGCUACCUGGUCUGCAACUGACGCUGAGACUCGAAAGCAUGGGUAGCGAACAGGAUUAGAUACCCUGGUAGUCCAUGCCGUAAACGAUGAGUGCUAGGUGUUGGAGGGUUUCCGCCCUUCAGUGCCGGAGCUAACGCAUUAAGCACUCCGCCUGGGGAGUACGACCGCAAGGUUGAAACUCAAAGGAAUUGACGGGGGCCCGCACAAGCGGUGGAGCAUGUGGUUUAAUUCGAAGCUACGCGAAGAACCUUACCAGGUCUUGACAUCUUGCGCCAACCCUAGAGAUAGGGCGUUUCCUUCGGGAACGCAAUGACAGGUGGUGCAUGGUCGUCGUCAGCUCGUGUCGUGAGAUGUUGGGUUAAGUCCCGCAACGAGCGCAACCCUUGUUACUAGUUGCCAGCAUUAAGUUGGGCACUCUAGUGAGACUGCCGGUGACAAACCGGAGGAAGGUGGGGACGACGUCAGAUCAUCAUGCCCCUUAUGACCUGGGCUACACACGUGCUACAAUGGACGGUACAACGAGUCGCGAACUCGCGAGGGCAAGCAAAUCUCUUAAAACCGUUCUCAGUUCGGACUGCAGGCUGCAACUCGCCUGCACGAAGUCGGAAUCGCUAGUAAUCGCGGAUCAGCAUGCCGCGGUGAAUACGUUCCCGGGCCUUGUACACACCGCCCGUCACACCAUGAGAGUUUGUAACACCCAAAGUCGGUGGGGUAACCUUUUAGGAGCCAGCCGCCUAAGGUGGGACAGAUGAUUAGGGUGAAGUCGUAACAAGGUAGCCGUAGGAGAACCUGCGGCUGGAUCACCUCCUUU
rnacentral:rRNA from 2 species